rnacentral:tRNA from 1 species
UAGCUUAAUGGUAAAGCACUCGGCUGGAGUCAUCGAGAGAUGUGGCUUCGAGUCCCAC